rnacentral:rRNA from 1 species
UACGGGGGGGGCAAGCGUUGUUCGGAAUUACUGGGCGUAAAGGGCUCGUAGGUGGCCAACUAAGUCAGACGUGAAAUCCCUCAGCUUAACCGGGGAACUGCGUCUGAUACUGGAUGGCUUGAGGUUGGGAGAGGGAUGCGGAAUUCCAGGUGUAGCGGUGAAAUGCGUAGAUAUCUGGAGGAACACCGGUGGCGAAGGCGGCAUCCUGGACCAAUUCUGACGCUGAGUGAGCGAAAGCCAGGGGAGCAAACGGG